UGGCCAUAUCACAUUGAAAUCCUGGUUCUUGUAUGAUCUCUGAAGUUAAGUGACAUCGAGCCUAAUCAGUACUUAGAUGGGUGACUGCUUGGAAACACCAGGUACUGUAAG